UCAGGGUCCCCUAGCGCUAAGCCCCGGCAGCCAAGGCUGGGGGUGUGAAAAUAAAGUGCUCACUCCUCAGAAGAAUUUUAAUUGCCUUCUCCUCGGUCCACUUGUGUCUUUGGAUCCCUAGGUUGAAUAGGGUCCAGUAAAGGAAGUCCCGCGGUGCCCUGACCAAGUCGUAGACUUUUUGCCCCAGAGCAGCAGCAGGUGUCUGGGGAGCCACUGCGUUAUCCCAGCCUGGAGCGAGGGGAGAGGACAGCGACUGGGCCCCUUCCCAACCCGCGCGAGUGGAGGCACAGCCUGUGGGGUCAGCUGUCCGGAGGGACGCGCAGUUGCACCCAAUCGCGUCCCAGCUGCUUCCGCCCCGACGGUUCAGCGGGCUUGGCCAGCGCAGCUGCGGGGCGACACCUCCACUAAGAAGAAAGAUCUAACCCAGCAUCUCUCACUGGUUCUGGAUAGCAGGAGCAGGUCCCAGAAGCAAUCCAAGACUUCUUGCUUGGAAAGAGGCCUGGGACCUUGUGUUCCAG
rnacentral:lncRNA from 1 species